UUUUUACACUUUGGCUUUUUCUUAACUCCUGCCUCCACAAUCCGUGUCUGUUCUGAAUGCAGUUGACGUGUGAGGGAAGAUUGCCACUCCAGCAGUGUUCCACAGAUUUUCUGCUUUCAACGGUUUUAAUGCACCACAGAUGAUAAAAGGCAGAAAAUCUGAGCCUUUGCCUGUCUUCACUUCAAAGAACAUCAUUUUCUUUUAUUGUGUUAAAGCCUCUUUUGUUUGUUAUCCACGUGUUCUGCACCAAAUUGAAUAAAGGUGCUWGUUUAAAAAGAAAAAAAAGAAACUCCAACAUUUAUUUCAUUGCUUUUCUUUUAAGAACUAUACAAUUCAAGGAUUUAAACAUUUUACAAUGUGCCGAAACUUCGAAACUAGGUUGUAUUAUUUAAAGUGUGACUUCACAGAGCUGCUAACAUGACUUAUUAUCCUCCACCCAGAGAAGAUAAAUCUAAUUCCAAUCUAAUUCUUUUCAGCCAGCUGGAAUCAAAUAAAUCUUCACAGAAAUGGCAGCAAUUCCAUUCAGUAACACAAUCAAGACUAUAAAUUAUUAAUGUGGAAAACACCUAAAACUUCAGUUUGUAAGCUGGGAUUACAGGUUGAAAUGUUUGUUUAA